rnacentral:rRNA from 1 species
AUUGAACGCUGGCGGCAGGCCUAACACAUGCAAGUCGAACGCAGUGGGGACGGGUGAGUAACACGUGGGUAACCUCCCAUCAGAGGGGAUAACACUUGGAAACAGGUGCUAAACCGAUACUGAUGGAUGGACCCGCGGUGCAUUAGCUAGUUGGUGAGGUAACGGCUCACAAAGGCCACGAUGCAUAGCCGACCGGAGAGGUUGAUCGGCCACUCUGGGACUGAGACACGGCCCAGAAUCCUACGGGAGGCAGCAGGAGGGAAGCUUCGGCAAUGGACGAAAGUCUGACCGAGCAACGCCGCGUGAGUGAAGAGGGUUAUCGGAUCGUAACACUCUGUUGUUAGAGAAGCGGUAUCUAACCAGAAAGCCACGACUAACUACGUGCCAGCAGCCGCGGUAAUAC